GACGAACGCUGGCGGCGUGCCUAAUACAUGCAAGUCGAACGCAGUGGGGACGGGUGAGUAACACGUGGGUAACCUCCCAUCAGAGGGGAAAACACUUGGAAACAGGUGCUAAACCGAUACUGAUGGAUGAACCCGCGGUGCAUUAGCUAGUUGGUGAGGUAACCGCUCACCAAGGCCACGAUGCAUAGCCUACCUGAGAGUGGGAUCGGCCACACUGGGACGGAGGUACGGCCCAGCCUCCUACGUGAGGCAGCAGGAGGUAAUCUUCGGCAAUGGACGAUAGUCUGACCGAGCAACGCCGCGUGAUUGAAGAAGGUUUUCGGAUCGUAAAACUCUGUUUUUAGAGAAGCGGUAUCUAACCAGAAAGCCACGGCUAACUACGUGCCAGCAGCCGCGGUAAUAC
rnacentral:rRNA from 1 species